rnacentral:rRNA from 1 species
UACGUAGGGUGCAAGCGUUGUCCGGAAUUAUUGGGCGUAAAGAGCUCGUAGGCGGUCUGUCGCGUCGGCUGUGAAAACUCGGGGCUCAACCCCGAGCCUGCAGUCGAUACGGGCAGACUAGAGUCCGGCAGGGGAGACUGGAAUUCCUGGUGUAGCGGUGAAAUGCGCAGAUAUCAGGAGGAACACCGGUGGCGAAGGCGGGUCUCUGGGCCGGAACUGACGCUGAGACGCGAAAGCGUGGGGAGCAAACAGG